UACGAAGGGGGCUAGCGUUGCUCGGAAUCACUGGGCGUAAAGGGCGCGUAGGCGGCCAUUCAAGUCGGAGGUGAAAGCCCAGGGCUCAACCCUGGAAUUGCCUUCGAUACUGUUUGGCUAGAGACCGGAAGAGGUAAGUGGAACUGCGAGUGUAGAGGUGAAAUUCGUAGAUAUUCGCAAGAACACCAGUGGCGAAGGCGGCUCACUGGCCCGGUACUGACGCUGAGGUGCGAAAGCGUGGGGAGCAAACAGG
rnacentral:rRNA from 1 species